UAAUUAGAAAAUUAUUGGAUUAUUAAUAUUAUUAUUGGGAUAAUAUUAUUGGGUUUUAUUAUUGGAGUAUAUAAGUUGGAAUAAUAAAAAGUCCUAAUUUUUGGAAAAGGGUUUUUCACGUGAAAAAGGAAAAGAGAAGCGGCUGAAAGAGAAAGGGAAAAGAGGCAGAGCAAGAGAAGAGGAAAAGCUUGAAGCUAACGGAAUUGCCGGAUUUACUCAGGUAACGAGCAGUGAUUGAGUAGGAGCUAGUACUUGGAGUCUAGAGUAGUUCCUUAGUGGGUCAUGCUCUGAUAGAUGUAACAUCGGGAAGGGAUGUUUUAAAUGUUUUACUGUUGGUUGUGAACCAUUUUACAUGUAAUGUGUUACAUGCUUUGAUUGAUUUGAUUUAGAUCCGCUGCGAUUUAUGCAACUGUUUAUUUGAUUAAAUAAAGAGCAUGACUGUUAUUUUGGAA